GAUGAACGCUGGCGGCGUGCCUAAUACAUGCAAGUCGAGCGAACAGACGAGGAGCUUGCUCCUCUGACGUUAGCGGCGGACGGGUGAGUAACACGUGGAUAACCUACCUAUAAGACUGGGAUAACUUCGGGAAACCGGAGCUAAUACCGGAUAAUAUAUUGAACCGCAUGGUUCAAUAGUGAAAGACGGUUUUGCUGUCACUUAUAGAUGGAUCCGCGCCGCAUUAGCUAGUUGGUAAGGUAACGGCUUACCAAGGCAACGAUGCGUAGCCGACCUGAGAGAGUGAUCGGCCACACUGGAACUGAGACACGGUCCAGACUCCUACGGGAGGCAGCAGUAGGGAAUCUUCCGCAAUGGGCGAAAGCCUGACGGAGCAACGCCGCGUGAGUGAUGAAGGUCUUCGGAUCGUAAAACUCUGUUAUGAGGGAAGAACAAAUGUGUAAGUAACUAUGCACGUCUUGACGGUACCUAAUCAGAAAGCCACGGCUAACUACGUG
rnacentral:rRNA from 1 species